rnacentral:lncRNA from 1 species
AAAAAAUGUUUCUUUAAGCAAGCGUAAUUGGUAGUUUUUUUUUAGUAUCUAGAAUGGAAGACGAUGUCAUCCCUUCAAAAGCCAAGUUGGCACUUGUACUAAAGUACUUGGCUUCUGGAGAUUUACACCGCCACAUUGCCUCCCACGUUCCCACGACAGUAGGGUCUACGUAACCGGAACGGACCCGGAUUUUUAUCCGGCCAUGGAUUGUCAACUCGGCAGAAUUCUGCCCCUACAACAACAACGACAACAAGAAUCAUGUCCGAUGUGUGUAAUGAAAUUGAAAAAGAGAACACUAGUUUGAGAUAUCUCAUUGCUUUCCAACACAAUGGAAUUUUCCAAACUACGUCGGGACUAUCGAUGGCAAACACAUAGCUAUCAAAGAAACACUAAAAUCUGGAAGCAUAUUUUAGAAUUAUAAAGGAUUCCAUUCUAUUGUAUUAAUGGCCAUUUGUGAUGACAAUUAUAAAUUCAUAUAUUUGGAUGUUGGUGCUUACGGAAGUGAAUAAGACUCCAAUAUUAUGAACAAUUCCAGAUUCGGUAUCAGCAUACUUAAUGACAGCUGCCAAUUUCCGGCCGACGGUUUUGUCGAUGGCAAAAAGUACCAUAUUUGAUUGUGGAAGAGGACGCAUUUCCACUGUGUAAACGUAUACUAAAGCCUUACAACAGCAAAAAACUUUCCAAAGAGGAACAAAUUUUCAAUUAUCGUUUAAGAAGAGCAAGACGAUGUAUUGAAAAGGCGUUUAGAAUUUUGAGUGCAAAAUCAUCAGCCACGAUCGAUUGUUUCAGCAUGAUGCCUGCUACAUUUCCAAUAUUUAUGUUUAUUUAAAAAAACAAUAAUUACUAUUUAUUUUAUGUAUAUCAUGUAUAUACGUUUUUUUAUAAAAACAAGUUUGAUGUU